rnacentral:rRNA from 1 species
AUGAACGCUAGCUACAGGCUUAACACAUGCAAGUCGAGGGGCAGCAUGGUCUUAGCUUGCUAAGGCCGAUGGCGACCGGCGCACGGGUGAGUAACACGUAUCCAACCUGCCGUCUACUCUUGGACAGCCUUCUGAAAGGAAGAUUAAUACAAGAUGGCAUCAUGAGUCCGCAUGUUCACAUGAUUAAAGGUAUUCCGGUAGACGAUGGGGAUGCGUUCCAUUAGAUAGUAGGCGGGGUAACGGCCCACCUAGUCUUCGAUGGAUAGGGGUUCUGAGAGGAAGGUCCCCCACAUUGGAACUGAGACACGGUCCAAACUCCUACGGGAGGCAGCAGUGAGGAAUAUUGGUCAAUGGGCGAGAGCCUGAACCAGCCAAGUAGCGUGAAGGAUGACUGCCCUAUGGGUUGUAAACUUCUUUUAUAAAGGAAUAAAGUCGGGUAUGGAUACCCGUUUGCAUGUACUUUAUGAAUAAGGAUCGGCUAACUCCGUGCCAGCAGCCGCGGUAAUACGGAGGAUCCGAGCGUUAUCCGGAUUUAUUGGGUUUAAAGGGAGCGUAGAUGGAUGUUUAAGUCAGUUGUGAAAGUUUGCGGCUCAACCGUAAAAUUGCAGUUGAUACUGGAUAUCUUGAGUGCAGUUGAGGCAGGCGGAAUUCGUGGUGUAGCGGUGAAAUGCUUAGAUAUCACGAAGAACUCCGAUUGCGAAGGCAGCCUGCUAAGCUGCAACUGACAUUGAGGCUCGAAAGUGUGGGUAUCAAACAGGAUUAGAUACCCUGGUAGUCCACACGGUAAACGAUGAAUACUCGCUGUUUGCGAUAUACAGCAAGCGGCCAAGCGAAAGCGUUAAGUAUUCCACCUGGGGAGUACGCCGGCAACGGUGAAACUCAAAGGAAUUGACGGGGCCCGCACAAGCGGAGGAACAUGUGGUUUAAUUCGAUGAUACGCGAGGAACCUUACCCGGGCUUAAAUUGCAGAUGAAUUACGGUGAAAGCCGUAAGCCGCAAGGCAUCUGUGAAGGUGCUGCAUGGUUGUCGUCAGCUCGUGCCGUGAGGUGUCGGCUUAAGUGCCAUAACGAGCGCAACCCUUGUUGUCAGUUACUAACAGGUUCUGCUGAGGACUCUGACAAGACUGCCAUCGUAAGAUGUGAGGAAGGUGGGGAUGACGUCAAAUCAGCACGGCCCUUACGUCCGGGGCUACACACGUGUUACAAUGGGGGGUACAGAGGGCCGCUACCACGCGAGUGGAUGCCAAUCCCCAAAACCUCUCUCAGUUCGGACUGGAGUCUGCAACCCGACUCCACGAAGCUGGAUUCGCUAGUAAUCGCGCAUCAGCCACGGCGCGGUGAAUACGUUCCCGGGCCUUGUACACACCGCCCGUCAAGCCAUGGGAGCCGGGGGUACCUGAAGUGCGUAACCGCGAGGAGCGCCCUAGGGUAAAACUGGUGACUGGGGCU